UACGUAGGGUCCGAGCGUUGUCCGGAAUUACUGGGCGUAAAGAGCUCGUAGGCGGUUUGUCGCGUCGAAUGUGAAAACCCGGGGCUCAACCCCGGGCCUGCAUUCGAUACGGGCAGACUAGAGUUCGGUAGGGGAGUCUGGAAUUCCUGGUGUAGCGGUGAAAUGCGCAGAUAUCAGGAGGAACACCGGUGGCGAAGGCGGGACUCUGGGCCGAUACUGACGCUGAGGAGCGAAAGCGUGGGGAGCGAACAGG
rnacentral:rRNA from 1 species